rnacentral:rRNA from 1 species
UCAGGAUGAACGCUAGCGGCAGGCUUAACACAUGCAAGUCGAGGGGUAACAGGGGCGCUUGCGCCCGCUGACGACCGGCGCACGGGUGCGUAACGCGUAUGCAAUCUACCUUUUACAGGGGGAUAGCCCAGAGAAAUUUGGAUUAAUACCUCAUAGUAUAUGGUCUUGGCAUCAAGGCCAUAUUAAAGAUUUAUCGGUAAAAGAUGAGCAUGCGUUCUAUUAGCUGGAUGGUAAGGUAACGGCUUACCAUGGCGACGAUAGAUAGGGGCCCUGAGAGGGGGAUCCCCCACACUGGUACUGAGACACGGACCAGACUCCUACGGGAGGCAGCAGUGAGGAAUAUUGGACAAUGGGCGGGAGCCUGAUCCAGCCAUGCCGCGUGCAGGAAGACUGCCCUAUGGGUUGUAAACUGCUUUUGUACAGGAAGAAACACUCCCUCGUGAGGGAGCUUGACGGUACUGUAAGAAUAAGGAUCGGCUAACUCCGUGCCAGCAGCCGCGGUAAUACGGAGGAUCCAAGCGUUAUCCGGAAUCAUUGGGUUUAAAGGGUCCGUAGGUGGAUGAUUAAGUCAGAGGUGAAAUCCUGCAGCUCAACUGUAGAAUUGCCUUUGAUACUGGUUGUCUUGAAUUAUUGUGAAGUAGUUAGAAUAUGUGGUGUAGCGGUGAAAUGCAUAGAUAUCACAUAGAAUACCGAUUGCGAAGGCAGAUUACUAACAAUACAUUGACACUGAUGGACGAAAGCGUGGGGAGCGAACAGGAUUAGAUACCCUGGUAGUCCACGCCGUAAACGAUGGAUACUAGCUGUUCGGAUUUAUCUGAGUGGCUAAGCGAAAGUGAUA